rnacentral:rRNA from 1 species
AAAUUGAAGAGUUUGAUCAUGGCUCAGAUUGAACGCUGGCGGCAGGCCUAACACAUGCAAGUCGAGCGGAAACGAGAUAUCUGAACCUUCGGGGAACGAUAUCGGCGUCGAGCGGCGGACGGGUGAGUAAUGCCUGGGAAAUUGCCCUGAUGUGGGGGAUAACCAUUGGAAACGAUGGCUAAUACCGCAUGAUAGCUUCGGCUCAAAGAGGGGGACCUUCGGGCCUCUCGCGUCAGGAUAUGCC